rnacentral:rRNA from 1 species
GAUGAACGCUGGCGGCGUGCCUAAUACAUGCAAGUCGAGCGAACGGACGAGAAGCUUGCUUCUCUGAUGUUAGCGGCGGACGGGUGAGUAACACGUGGAUAACCUACCUAUAAGACUGGGAUAACUUCGGGAAACCGGAGCUAAUACCGGAUAAUAUUUUGAACCGCAUGGUUCAAAAGUGAAAGACGGUCUUGCUGUCACUUAUAGAUGGAUCCGCGCUGCAUUAGCUAGUUGGUAAGGUAACGGCUUACCAAGGCAACGAUGCAUAGCCGACCUGAGAGGGUGAUCGGCCACACUGGAACUGAGACACGGUCCAGACUCCUACGGGAGGCAGCAGUAGGGAAUCUUCCGCAAUGGGCGAAAGCCUGACGGAGCAACGCCGCGUGAGUGAUGAAGGUCUUCGGAUCGUAAAACUCUGUUAUUAGGGAAGAACAUAUGUGUAAGUAACUGUGCACAUCUUGACGGUACCUAAUCGGAAAGCCACGGCUAACUACGU